AUGCCCGGCCCGCUCGGCCCCCGCCCGCGCCCGCCGCCCGGCCAGCCCCGAGCCCCCGCCCCGCUGCGACUUUGGCGGGCCGAGCCCGGCGCGGCAGUGGCGGCGGCGGCGGCGGCAGAUGUGGCCCGGCUGCCCGGAGGAGCCAACAAUGCGGGGCCGGCAAAACAAAAGGGUUCCACUUCGCCUCCUUUCCCUUCUUUCACUUGCGCUCCCGGGGCGCCGCGCGGGAUCCCCGGCCAGCAGGGGCCGCUCCCCUGGGGGCCCCGAGCCGCGCGCGCCCCGGUUUCCCCGCGGACCCCCGCUCUACCGCCCGCCCCCGCCCCGCAAAACGUAAGGCCCCGCGCGUCGGACUCCCGGUCCCGGGGGAUCCGGCCGUAUUGUCCCCGCGGCGCGCCGCGCGCUCGGCCUGGGUCGCGGGCGGCCCCCGCGCGCGCACCCACCGGCCUCGGGGAGCAGGAGCCGGGGGCGCCUAGGAAACCGUCGCCGAGACGCCGCCGCCGCCGCCGCCGCCGCUGCCCUCCGGACGCCGCCGCGCUCGGGAUUUCUUUUUUCUUUUUUUUUUUUUUUUUUUUUCCAAUCCUGAUGGGAAGGAAGGUGACCGCCUACUUCGCAUUCAUCAACUCUCAUCACAACAACAAAAAUCCUGGCGCAAACGGCAGCCGGCGGGCGCGAUCGGCGGCGGGGGGCGGCAGGCAGGGACCUCCAGGCCGGCUCCCACCCCCGGGCGCCGAGCGGGGACACGGGGGCGCAGACCAAAGAUGUCCUCGGAUGCCGGCUCCGUGUCCUUCGCCCUCCUCCUCCUCCUCCUCCCCCCCACCCCCCAGUGGCGCAGUGAGGCGCGGGCGCGGCGCCCCCAGCCCGCGGCCGCAGGUGAGGCGGGGGCGGCAGCGGUCCCAGCCCUCCCCCGGGGCCCCGCUUACCUCGUCCCGGGCCGCCGGCGUCCACGGCGAAGGGCGCCCACCCGGGAGGCGGCGGCGGCGGCGGUGGCGGCGGCUCCCGCCCCUCCCACCCCACCCGGCGGCGGUGGCGGUGGCGGCGGCUGUGCGGCCCCCCCCUCAGCGCGGCAUGGCUCCCGGCUCGGUCCCUCGCUCCUCGGGCCGCCGCCGGCUUCUCUGGGCCGCUCCCGGGCCACCUUAA
rnacentral:lncRNA from 1 species